AGGAUGGAAUCAAAACAACGUGCCUUUGUCCAGUUUUUAUAAACACUGGAUUUGUCAAAAACCCCAGUACCAGGCUUGGAAAGAUUUUGGAGAUUGAAGAAGUCGUACAGGCUUUGAUGGAAGGAAUAGUGACCAACCAGAAAAUGGUUUUCGUUCCCUCAAAUCAGAGCAUUGCUUUACUGCUUGAAAGGGUGUUUCCAGAACGUGCCCUGAACCUUCUGAAGAAGAUUUCUGAAGUCAAGUUUGAUGCAGUCAUUGGGCAGAGAAGCACACAGUGAAAAGCAAGAAUUGAUUCUCAUUUCCCAGAGGCACCAGUGAAAAGAGAACAUGUGCUGAGCGUAGUUCAGCUGCCUGGAUUCCAAACAGAGCUCAGGCAGGUGCUUCCAGGCCACCAUUCCCAGGCACACCUAAGGGCUUAUCCCACACCUGCAGCUGGAGCACAGCUGCAUAACAGGGUGUAUUAGCAAAGCAGUGAUGCCACUCUAGAAGGGCUGCUUUGAAUGUACAUCCCAUUACAUUUGUCUCAUUGUGCUGAGGUAGGCAGGAAUUCCCACAAAGGUGGGUAGUCUAUUUUCACCUCAGUUUAUAUUGUUGAAUUAUAAAAUGCUCUAAAGAACAUUGAAUUUCCCAUAUUUUUGCAGGAAAUACCUGAAAUAAUACAGGUCUAUAUGUAAUAUACCUAAUUACAUUGAUUAUCAAUUACACAUUUGCACCAUCAAUAUGCCUUUAUAUGAAUAAAUGCAUAUAAGUUCUUUAACACAAGGACCACAGUGUCUCUUGGCAGUGAAAGUCAUAAUCACGUCCUAGAGAUGCAUAUAAGGUACAGUAUCAAGGAAUACAGAAUACACCUUUCCCUGUAUCAUUGCUCACACUGCUCCUGUGCACUUUCCAGACAUCUUUAAAACACCUUCUUAUGAAAACAGUGCAGUAUUUCUCUGCAAAUGACUGGGUGCCACAAGUGCAGCCCACACAGGUGCCAGGGCCAAGGCUAGGCCAGGGGGUGCAGGGGGAGGCUCCAGAUGAGCCUUCACACAGCUCCUCAUCACAAGCCAGGGGCCUGCUCUGUUGGCACAGGAAGUGAAAUCCCUGAAGGUCUUUGGCCUGGGGUCCAAGAAAGCAGCAGCUGCUGGCACAUGGGUCAAAGACCCCUCCAGAGCACAGAGGAUCUGUGCACCCACUUGUGCAAUUCCUGCUGCAGGCACUGCUGGCCCACAGCCAUCCCAGGCAGGCCUGAAUGUGCUGCCACCUUCGGCACAGUUGGAAUCUGUCCUGUUCACCUGAGCCUUUCAAGCUGUUCUGUAAACCAAGGUU